rnacentral:rRNA from 1 species
UCACAGAUUAUAAACCGAUAUCCCAAACCACAACAAGAUUAAAAUAUUAAACUUCACCCUGUUAACCCAACUCAGGUGCGCUUAUUAGAAAGAUUAAAAUCUGUAAAAGGAACUAGGCAAACCCAAGGCCCGACUGUUUACCAAAAACAUAGCCUUCAGCCAACCAAGUAUUGAAGGUGAUGCCUGCCCAGUGACAUAACGUUUAACGGCCGCGGUAUCCUAACCGUGCGAAGGUAGCGCAAUCAAUUGUCCCAUAAAUCGAGACUUGUAUGAAUGGCUAAACGAGGUCUUAACUGUCUCUUGCAGAUAAUCAGUGAAAUUGAUCUCCCUGUUCAAAAGCAGGAAUAAGCCCAUAAGACGAGAAGACCCUGUGGAACUUAAAAAUCAACAGCCACUGCCUACAAACCCAAACCUAACAGGUUCACCCCCCUCAUAAUGCUGCUUAUAUUUUUCGGUUGGGGCGACCUUGGAGAAAAACAAAUCCUCCAAAAAUAAGACCACACCUCUUAACUAAGAGCGACCUCUCAACGUACUAACAGUAACCAGACCCAAUAUAAUUGAUAAAUGGACCAAGCUACCCCAGGGAUAACAGCGCAUUCUCCUCUAAGAGCCUACAUCGACGAGGAGGUUUACGACCUCGAUG